ensembl:lncRNA
UUAGUUUCCAGGGACGUCAUGUUAUAUUCUUUUAGUCUGAGCUGUAUCUUGCAUAAUGAGCCGCCAAGCUUUUUGUUUGUUUGUUUAAGUACAAAUAUGGGCACUGUAUAAAGGCAUUAUUUAUUUUGUUAUAAAAAAUAUAUAUAUAUGAAAAUUGGUCCAAAUACAGUAAUAUACAUAGCACUGAUGCUCAACUGAUGGAAUUUAUUUUAUAUGCUCUCCUUUUCCCAUUAUACUUGUACUGCUUUUUUGUAGAUGCUUUGUACCAAAAAUAUUCCUUUCACCUUUUGGUUUGCCACUGAGCUAUUUCAGCUAUUUUUAAAUUAAUAUUUAAACGGCAGAAGUACCCUGGACUGCUUAGGCAUGUUGUCACAAAAAUAGGCACAUACUCGGAAGACUCUGCAUUUCUUCACGUCUAGUUUCUCUCACAUGGCUUUUUGGUCUGCCAAAUGGAUUUCUUUUAUUAAAAAGUACUCAUGCUUGACUUAUUACAAUUGUUUCAUAUGCAGUGACAAUAAUUGAAGCAGUUUUGUUCUAAAGGAAAUGGUGAUGUUGUCAUUAUUGCCAUUUUUGAGUAUCAUUCAAGUAUAAAUAUAUAUUCAGCAUAGGUAUAGGUGUUAAAUGACCACUACAUAUAUCAGCUUUGAGUGGUGUUUAGAAGCCAGUGUCUGGAUGGCGAUGUAAUGUUCUUUGACACCAAUCUGUAACUGCGUGAAUCUUAGUCACAGAUGUGUGUAAAGGGCAGUUUCUAUUAAUGCAGUUAGCCAGUGACAGCUGAAGUGCUCAUCCGCUUGGUGUUCACUGAAGGGCACUGAGGUGAUGCUUAUCCAACAUAACAGUGGCCACUCACAAGGGACCCACUUCCCUUCUCUUUCUCCAUACCAUACAUCUGGCUUUUGGUAGGACUGGUUACUUCUUUCUUGUGACAAUAAUAUAAAAAAAAAAAAAAAAAAAAAAAAAAUCUUCAAUCAUUGUUAAAGGGCUACCUUAAUAAACCAUCUUUAAGGCAGGUUUAAAACUCAGGUAGAAAACAAAAGUUUAUGAAAGACAGAAUUGAGUCAGAAUGUGUUGAUUUGGAACUAUGAAUAAUUAACAAACAAUUUUCUUUAUAAAAUGUUCACCACACUUUGGGAUGGAGUAAAAUGAGCCAGUAAUGCUAUUGAAUCCAUUGAACAUCAUGUAAUAUCAUAACCUGAUAAAUUAACAUACAUACAUUCCUUCCUGUCUAUGUAUCCUUAUCAGUUGUUUAAUUAAACAGUGCAAUUAUUAUUAUUAUUAUUAUUAUUAUUAUUAUUAUUAUUAUUAUUAUUAUUUUCCUACUUCCUGUGAGGACUGCAUCCACUCUUUUUUUGAACAGAUUUCUAUGUGAACAUGAAGGUAAAACAUAAUCUGCAUGGAAUAUGGAGGGAUCUUUUUCCUGUCCAUGCAAACAUACUAGUAUCAGUAGCCCGAUCAGCCUGUGUGUACGUUUAUUGACUUAACCUCUGCACGCUAGAACGUCCAAAAUGCACAUUUCAUGUACUUUCAUUUUUACUAUCAAUAAAGAAAACAUUUUAUGAAAUACAUUUUGCUUAUGAAGACAUUUGUAUAUGUGUGCAUUUUGGUGUAUGCAUUCCUGUUCUCUUUUGGUAGACCCAAGAUUACUUGGAAUACUGUUACACCAGAUACCGUAGUCUAUUGUAACCAUCCUUUGCAACCCAUUUGCUGGGUUAAACGUAACAACCCAACUUGAUGGGUUAGUUUAGCCCAAAAUGUGUUCUGUCCUAUAUUUACUUAGCCGUUAGGCUAAAGAUAACCCAAUUUGGGUUGUUUCUAACCCACUGUUUUUAGAGUGUAUGAGUUUCAGAGGUUCAAAUAAGAAUACAUAUACUUUCUUCAAAUUGCAAACUUUAUAAAAUUGUACAACCCCAAUUCCAAAAAAGUUGGGAUGCUGUGUAAAAUGUAAAUAAAUGUAAAUAAAAACAGAAUGCAAUUAUUUGCAAAUCUCAUGAACCCAUAUGUUAUUCACAAUAGAACAUAGAUAACAUAUAAAAUGUUUAAACUGAAGAAAUGUACC